UACAAAUUCGUCGAUUCGCUCUCAGCUCAGCAGCAACGACGGUGACAUUCCUCCUGCCAUAUGCUUACUCAGUUUGGGUUUUUUUUCCUUCAACCAUGCGCCGACAAAUGACUAAUGAGGUGGUCUUGAUGGAUACUAAGGUGAUGACUUGCCCCUGAAACUCGUCACUUAAGGUGGUCUUGAUGGAGACGAAGCACCCAAUGGCCAAACUACUCGUCACUUAAUAUUGUAAAAAUAAAAAUUUAAAAACUGUUGCCGGUCCAAACCGGAAAAACCGGAACCGAA